rnacentral:rRNA from 1 species
CUUCCCCGCUGUCUCUAGCAUCGACUCAGUGAAAUUGAAUUCCCCGUGAAGAUGCGGGGUUCCUGCGGUUAGACGGAGAGACCCCGUGCACCUUUACUAUAGCUUUGCACUGGCAUUCGUGACGACAUGUGUAGGAUAGGUGGUAGGCUUUGAAGCCGCGGCGCCAGCCGUGGUGGAGCCAUCCUUGAAAUACCACCCUUGCUGUUAUGGAUGUCUAACCGCGACCCGUUAUCCGGGCCCGGGACAGUGCAUGGUGGGUAGUUUGACUGGGGCGGUCGCCUCCCAAAGAGUAACGGAGGCGCGCGAUGGUGGGCUCAGAGCGGUCGGAAAUCGCUCGUCGAGUGUAAUGGCAUAAGCCCGCCUGACUGCGAGACAGACAAGUCGAGCAGAGACGAAAGUCGGCCAUAGUGAUCCGGUGGUCCCACGUGGACGGGCCAUCGCUCAACGAAUAAAAGGUACGCCGGGGAUAACAGGCUGAUGAUGCCCAAGCGUCCAUAGCGAC